AAAAGUGCACAAGUUCCCACCUACAUGCUUUGUUUGGCUGUCAAAGGAACACAGGCAAGUGCUUGACAGCCUGUUAUGGUGAAAGGUGAGUGGCUGGCUGUGUGGCCUGGACAUCUCAUCCACUAGAUUCCAGACGGAGACCCACCAAACUCCACGUAGGCCUCUGACCAGUCAUCGCACGCACGCCAGUGACUUUUGGACUCAUAGACCAUCUGUAAAAUGCAAUGUACUGCAAGGACAGCGGAUAACAUCUGUAUAGCAGCCUUCAACUUGAAAGAUCCCACAGGAACAAAACUGAAGUACAAAUGGAUGACUCCACCCGUCACUGAAUUGUGGGCAUUCAUGAGUUGAAACACGGCAAUGUGCAAUUAUUACUGAGUUUAUCCUCAGCUGAACAGGAGGUAUUAACGGAUAAAACAUGGGAAAGAGGACACACUAAUAGACAGAGGCAGAUAUUGGAGACAAGAGAUAAAC